rnacentral:sRNA from 7 species
GUUUUUGCAGACGUCCUUCUCCUCCUCCCAGGGACGACUGCGGGAACAGCGGCAUUCCUCCUCCCGUCCGCUGUUCGGUUCUUGUAGAAAGCCUGCCGCUCCUCCUCCCGCGGCAGGCUUUUUCG